rnacentral:lncRNA from 1 species
AGGCAAUGACUUUCUCAGUAGGAAUCCUAAAGCUUGGGAGAAAAUGCCAAGAGUUAAUAAAUGGGAUGACAUCAAGUUAAAAAGCUAUUGCACUAAAGAGGAAACAGUAAUGUGAAAGAGAACCCACAGAAUGAGAGAAAAUCUUGGGUAGCUACUCCUCUGACAGAAGAUUAAUAUAUAGAUUAUAUAAAGAACUCAAAAAGCAUGAGGAAACCAAAUAACUCAAUUAGUAGCUGGGCAAAUGAACUAAACACACACUCCUCAAAAGAAGAAAUUACAAAUGGCCAAAAAAUAUAUGAAAAACCUUCAACAUAUUUAGUGACUAGGAAAAUAUAAGUCAAAACUACACUGAGGUUUCCUCUCAUUCCAGUUAGAAAGUCAGUCAUCAAGAAAACAAAAAAUAAUAAUAAAUGCUGGAGAUGAUAUGGAGAAAAAAGGACAUUUUUACACUGCUGAUGGGAUUGUAAAUGAGUACAACCACUAUGGAAAUCAGUACAGAGUUUCUUCAAAAUACUAGACAUGAAACCACCAUGUGACCAGCUACACCACUCCUUUGCAUACCCAUGUUUAUAGCAGCACAAUUCACAAUAGCCCAACUAUGGUCCAGCCCAAAUGUCCACUGGUAGAUGAAUGGAUAAAGAAAUGUGGCAUAUAAGCAAAAUGGAGUUUUAUUCAGCCAUAAAGAAGAAUGAGAUUAUGAUUUUUUUUCAGGAAAAUGGAUGAAACUUGAGAUUAUGUUAAGCAAAACAAGCC